CAGUCGCCGCGGUAAUACGAAGGGUGCAAGCGUUAAUCGGAAUUACUGGGCGUAAAGCGUGCGUAGGCGGUGAGUUAAGUCUGCUGUGAAAUCCCCGGGCUCAACCUGGGAAUGGCAGUGGAUACUGGCUCGCUAGAGUGUGUCAGAGGAUGGUGGAAUUCCCGGUGUAGCGGUGAAAUGCGUAGAGAUCGGGAGGAACAUCAGUGGCGAAGGCGGCCAUCUGGGACAACACUGACGCUGAGGCACGAAAGCGUGGGAAGCAAACAGGAUUAGAUACCCCCGUAGUCCCUGUCUCUUAUAC
rnacentral:rRNA from 1 species